GGCGGCCCCGUGGGUGCACCGGGCGGAGGCCUGGGUCUGGGCCCGCCCGCCGCCUCCACCGCCGGGCCUUAUUACACCUGGAUUGAUGGCGAUUCUUCUGGUGAAAUUGGAGGUCCCUGAGCUGGCUUCCCCGUGUAAUCGUCCUCCACAGCCAUGAAGACUCCCACACGGAGCUUUUCCUGGAAGGGCCCAUCACCUAGCUGGCAUUACAGAGACAAAACCUGAAGACCGUUUAGACUGAGGCCAUACGUGCCAGUCCAGCAAACGAUCCUAAAACACGGAUGGAGAAUGGAAUCUAUUUUCCUGCCUUGUAUCUGUAUUUGUGGACUCAAAAAGGAAGUAGUUUUCCUCCUAAGUUAUGUAUGCUAUUAACUGCCUCCCUUUUCUUUUUUUUCCAAUCCUCACCCCAAGCUAUGUUCUUACUGAUUUCAGAGAGAGGAAGGGGGGGAGAGAGAGAGAGAGAGAGAGAGAGAGUCAUCGAUGGGUUACCUCCUGUUCACACCCCGAACCAAGGAUCAAACCCACACCCUUCCAGGGUACGGGAUGAUGCUUCAACCAACUGAGCCACACCGGCCAGGGUGCCUCUCUUAAUAUCAUAUUAACUGUCUAUUUCUUCCCUUCUUUCUCUGUGUGACUGUCUUCAUGAUUGUUUCUGUACAGAAAACUUAACGUUGUUCACAGCGUAAAUGACUGAGGCAUUUUGCUCUCCCUGUAAUAAAUCCCGCCUGCGUUUACA